rnacentral:tRNA from 2 species
GCACCUGUGGUGAAACUGGCAGACACGUUGGAUUUAGGUUCCAAUGCCGCAAGGCGUGCAGGUUCAAGUCCUGUCAGGUGCA